rnacentral:rRNA from 1 species
UAGGGAAUCUUCGGCAAUGGACGGAAGUCUGACCGAGCAACGCCGCGUGAGUGAAGAAGGUUUUCGGAUCGUAAAGCUCUGUUGUAAGAGAAGAACGAGUGUGAGAGUGGAAAGUUCACACUGUGACGGUAUCUUACCAGAAAGGGACGGCUAACUACGUGCCAGCAGCCGCGGUAAUACGUAGGUCCCAAGCGUUGUCCGGAUUUAUUGGGCGUAAAGCGAGCGCAGGCGGUUAGAUAAGUCUGAAGUUAAAGGCUGUGGCUUAACCAUAGUACGCUUUGGAAACUGUUUAACUUGAGUGCAAGAGGGGAGAGUGGAAUUCCAUGUGUAGCGGUGAAAUGCGUAGAUAUAUGGAGGAACACCGGUGGCGAAAGCGGCUCUCUGGCUUGUAACUGACGCUGAGGCUCGAAAGCGUGGGGAGCAAACAGGAUUAGAUACCCUGGUAGUCCACGCCGUAAACGAUGAGUGCUAGGUGUUAGACCCUUUCCGGGGUUUAGUGCCGUAGCUAACGCAUUAAGCACUCCGCCCGGGGAGUAACGAACCGCAAGGUUG